GCCUGGCCCGCGACGCACCGAGGCCUGAGGACCCGAAAGCCGGGCGCGGGGAGAUGACCGGUGGCUCGUGACGGUCCCACGGGCAAAAUCUUCCAUCGCCCGGGGCUGAGACUUGUCAAACUGCCCUCUACGGUCACCCGGAAAGUAGGAGGCUUUUUCUGCAGAGGGGAAAAAAAUCAAAAAGAGCCGUUCCAUCCCCCCUCCAAGGACUGGGUUUGAAUUGCUUUUCAUCUGCAGUGGCUGUGAUUCAGCGUCCCUCUUAGCAGCAGGCAAUGACAGAGGCAGGAGAGGGGAAAAAAAAAAAGAAAGAAAGAAAAAACACAGCAAAUGAAUCAAACGGACGUAGCAGGCAAGAGUGUGGUUAUCGUUGGACCAGGAUUCAGGAUCUGACUGAGUAGCUGACUCUUAAUCCAGUUUGUGUUGAUCACCAGGAGGAUCUGGACCUCAGUAUUACCACAUCUAGAGCUAUAAUCACAUCCCUGUUAAGCCUUCCUGAGAUCACACCAAAUGUCCUUGAUGGGAAUUGUAAACAACCCUUACUUCUGGUUUCUAAUGAUAUUCCAGGAAAGGAGCCUAACUAGAGUCAGUGAUAUGCCAACUCCACCUUUGCCUUCCACCAUGUUUGGAAGCUCCCUGAGGCCUCACCAGGAGCAGAUGCUCGUCCCAUGCUUCCUAUAAGCCUGCAGAACUGUGAGCCAUAAUAAACUGUGAAUUAUAAAUUGCCUUUAUAGCAAUGCAAAUGGACCAGUACAGAUGGGAUGCUGGGAAGACAGUUGUUUCCACCUUCAGUAAAGUCCGUGGAACACAGUUGUGACUAUAUUCUAGGCCAGCCAAGAUGCUUGUACUCAGAAAGGAGUGGUCUCAGGACCAUAAGAAAGUGAAAAAAUAAAAAUAAGAAAAUAAAGAAGGGAUUGUCAAUGAAUCAGAAUUCAUCAAGGUCAAAGUCUUAGGAAAUUCCUUCAUGAGGAAGUCUAGGGGGGCUAUGGAAAUGAAAUUUUUAAACAAAUAGGUAUGUGGUGCUGGCAGGAAUAAAUUAUGGACUUAUGAAUAUAACAUAAGAUUCUUUAUUACCUGGUCUCACCCGUCUUUCCACCUCUGCCCCCCUUCUUGCCCGACUCUGUGUAUCACCCAUAAUAAACUACUUACAGCUUCCUAGUGUUAAAUUUACCCUAAAGCUGCCUCCUUCAAUAUUUUAAGUUUAACCUAAAGGUUCUUCAUACAUAGUGAACUAUAACCCAAUGAUUAAACAGAUUGUAACCUACUCUUGUACCAGUCACCAAGUUUCAGCCAAUCAGAGGUGGCCAACUGUUCAAACCAUGCUCAAAUAAGGGAAAUGUCAUGGUGUAACUAAUCCAGCUGUUUCUAUACCUUACUUCUGUUUUCUUAGGUCACUUUCCUUUUUUGUCCAUAAAUUCUCUCCAACCACUCAGCAGCACUGGAGUCACUCCAAAGCUAUCCUGGUUCAGGGGUCUGUCUGAUUCACAAGUCAUUCUUUGUUCAAUUGAGCUCUGCUAAAUUUAAUUUGUCUGAAGUUUUUCUUUUAACAGAUGGUGUCAGAAAUGGACCCCAAAGUAGAGCUCCCAGUGAUCCCCCAGGAGCACUGAGUGACCACAAGGGGUACCUGCUGGGCCCGUCCUCUCGCAGUGUCCACUGCUCUCUUACAGCAACUGGAGAUUGUGGCUGCAUUCUCUCUCAGAUUCUGAAGCUCCAUACAUUGCCGUUUUCAGCUGUUCAAGCUUGCUUGAGCAAAUUUUUGAUCUUAGCUGAGUUUGGAAGUCGAUAGACAUUGGACUGGGUCCAGGAUUUGAUUGGAUCUGAUAAUUAACUGGCUUGGAUCCAGUUAGAUGCCUCGGUUAUCUGACUGGGUCAGAUAGAAACCGCCAGUAAAUAUUUUAAUAACAAUACUGCAGGGGUAUGAACUCUGGCUUUAAGAAACUCACAAGGAAUUUUAUGUUCUAUACCCUUUGUUUCUUUUUCUUGUGUGCUUCGGUCAGGAAAAAUCAUUAGUCAAGUUAAUCAAGGGGAUCUGAGAGCCAAAUACAAGAUUCAACGUAAAAAUGGAAUCCUUGGGCUAGGCGUGGUGGCUCAGGCCUGUAAUCCCAGGACUUUGGGAGGCUGAGGCAGGCGGAUCACCUGACCUUAGGAGUUCGAGACCAGUCUGGCCAACAUGGUGAAACCCCGUCUCCACUAAAAAUACAAAAAUUAGCCAGGCGUGGUGGUGGGCACCUGUAAUCCCAGCUACUUUGGAGGCUGAGGCAGGAUAAUCACUUGAACCCAGGAGGCAGAGGUUGCAGUGAUCUGAGAUUGCACCACUGCACUCCAGCCUGGGCAAAAGAGCGAGACUCCAUCUCAUAAAUAAAUACAUAAAUAAAUAAAGAAAUCCUUAAUUUCUGCGGAACUGAGUGCUCUACCUUCUGGCUACACCUACGUAUACCUGUAUGAGGUAUAGGCCCUGGAAGCAGCAAACACUUACAGAAAUGGUGAAAUCUUACUAAAGGGAAAAGAAAGCUGGAUAAAGUAUUUAUAGAAGAUAGAGGACCUGUGGUGGCUCAUGCCUGUAAUCCAAGGUGGAAGGAUUGCUUGAGGCCAGAAGUUCAAGACCAGUCCAAGCAACAUAGCAAGGCCCCAUCUCUACAAAAAAUGAAAAUAAAAUUAGCCGAGCGUGAUGGCUCAUGCCUGUAGUUCUAGCUUCUAGAGAGGCUGAGGCAGGAGGAUUGCUUGAGUCCAGGAGUUCAAGAUUACAGUGAGCUAUGGUCACACCACUGCACUCCAGCCUGGGUGAUGGAGUGAGACUGUCUCAAUAAAAAGACAAAAAGGCUGGCCAGGGGCAGUGGUUCAUGCCUGUAAACCCAGCACUUUGGGAGGCAAAGGCAGGAGGAUUGCUUAAGCCCAGGAAUUUGAGAUCAGCCUGGACAACAUGGUGAGACCCCCAUCUCUACAAAAAUUUUUUUUAAAAGUUACCCAGGCAUGGUGUUGCACAUCUGUGUUCCCAGCUACUGGGGAGGCUGAGACGGGAGGAUCACUUGAGUCCAGGAAGUUGAGAGGUUGAGGCUGCUGUGAGCUGUGAUUGUGCCACUGCACUUUAGCCUGGACAACAGAGGGAGACCCUGUCAACAACAACAACAACAACAAAAAAGCAAAACAUCAUAGGCUGCAGAAAUAAACUUUCUUGUCAAUUGUGUCUUUAACCAUGACCAUUUUGAGUCAUUUCCACAGUGAGUUGCCUAAUUUUGAUGCAUUUCUGAAAACUCUUUAUAAGCAAGUAAAAUCCUAGAGAAUUGUGCCUUCAAGGAGACUCAUGGAAAGGAUGGAAAGAACUCUUGAAUACAUGUUUCUGAUAGCUUUAUGAUCAUAUCAUUUGGACUGGGUAAGAAUUCCCAGAACUCAUGAAGAGACUGACUAUUUAUUAAUCCAAGCAGGAAAAGAAUUAAUUGAAUACCAAGGAAAUACUGUGCCAGAGAUUUUCAUGCUAAAUCAGUCAGCACCGAAAUCGUUAAGAUGUGUAGUUUGAAUGAACUCCAUGAUCCUAGUCAAAUUUCCUAUGAUGACCCAUUUAAUAAACAGUGCUAUGCACCUGAAUUGGAGAAACAGAAUUGAUACUUAAAUCCAAUGUUAAUCAUAGAUUCAUGGAAAGCCUAAAUGGCUGCUUGGGUCUUCCUGAGCCCUUAAAGCUUCCAUUAUUAAAGGCUCUGCACUUUAUAAGUUAUCACUGAAGAGAGAAAAUGAUCCAGAUUUAAAAUACACAUAUUGGUGUGGUGAAUGUUCUAAAUUGCGAAAAUGGUUUAUGACCAACAUUUGGUUUGUCAUGCUCACAAUCCUGGAAAUACAUUCAAAACUUCAGGUACAUUUCUGCUACCUGAUGGGCUAUUUGAAUAUAUAGAGAGGGAUUUCAUUCAAUUGCCAUUUUCAUUGCAUGUUUUUUGGUUGUAUAGAAGCUUUCCCAUGCAAGGAGGCUGAUGCUGUUAUUACAGUAGCUAAAAGGUUAGUAGGAAAUGUGUUUUCCCCCAUGGGGCAUUCCUGGAGAAAUCUCUAGCAAUAAAGGUACUUGUUUGACUGGACAAGUUGUAAAACAGUUUAAUAAGGUUUUUUUUAGGUGUCAUAGCAUUAGGCAAAGCUAACUGAAUUGACUGGAUUGUCAUAGUCAAACAUAUUGCAGAUCCGCUUCCAAUAGAAGACAAUGAAAUAGUCACUGGAAAGCCUGUGCUCCUAAUUUUAGAACCUCAUGUAUCUUCUGCUCCUAAACUCUGAUAGGACUAAAUGCUGUGAGGCCUCAAUGCAUUAUGUUAAUGUGUAUUUUCACCAGGUCAAGGAAGCUUUUCCUGAUCCACUAACUAAGGACAAUCAAACCCUUCAUGAUCUAGAAUCUGGAGACUGUGUCUUCUGGGAAUAGUAUCAGAGAAAGACUGCCCUUACUGCCCACAUGUAGCAAAACUUUGAGACGUUGAAUUAUGGGUCCAUAAUCUCACAACUCAGAGGGGCACCUCUAGACUCUUGGAACUGUAUAUCUAUUGGAGACUUUAAGGUAAAGCUGAACAGAGAGACGUUUUUCUCCAGAAGCAGACAGCACCAUAGUCAUGGACAGCUUUCCCAAGAUCACAGAUCAAGACUUCUCUGCCGUCAUGAGACUCAUAACCUCUUAAUUUUUUCUUGCUUAUGCUUCUGUGAACAAUAGAAUUGGAAAAGGGGUGGUCCCGCGUGCACCCAUAGGGUAUACUUUUAUUUGUGGAGGAUUUUGCUGCCAACCUUAUACAUGGGCAAACUUAUGCCUUCAUGGAUGGAAGAUAAAGGGCUAAUAUGGGUUAGAAAUUUUAAUGGUACCUUUGUUUCUCCAUAAUCAUUCAGAAACAGAACACUGGUCCACUCUUGUUAACCUACAUCAUAGGUUGAAGAGAACAUUGCCAGGAGGCCUUCAUCCUUCCAGAUGGGCACCAUUUGUUGGGUCUUUUUCCGUGGUAUGAAGAAAAUGAAGCAAUGAUUAGAAAUUGGUCCCUCGGCCGGGCACAAUGGCUCAUGCCUGUAAUCCCAUCACUUUGGCAGGCCGAGGCGGGUGGAUCACCUGAGGUCAGGAGUUUGAGACCAGCCUGACCAAUGUGGUGAAACGCCAUCUCUACUAAAAAUACAAAAAUUAGCUGGGUGUGAUGGUGCACACCUGUAAUCCAGCUACUCGGGAGGCUGAGACAGGAGAAUUGCUUGAACCUGGGAGGCAGAGGUUGCAGUGAGCCAAGAUCACCCCACUGCAUUCCAGGUUGGGCAACAGAGCAAGACUCUGUCUCAAAAAAAAAAGAAGAAAGAAAGAAAUUGAUCCCUCAUAAUAGGCUGUAUAGCAGAUUCUACUGCAAAGGCUAUGGUUGCACAACAGACUUCUUUGAAUUUGCUUGCUAAACUUUUACUGGAUAAUACUGGGAUUACAGGUGUGAGCCACUGUGCCCAGCCUCUCCUGUUUAACUGUAUUCAUUCUAAUGUUUACUUACUUCUUUAAUUUGUAAAAUUGGGUCACUUAGAGUUUUUUUAGCCUAUCUUGCCAUUUAGCCACUGUUACUGAUAAUUUGGAUGGAAAAGAAAAAUAAAUUAUAUCACCUCUCAUCUUCAGUGUAUAUAUGUGUUAACUUAGUAAAUAUAGUAUUCUUUCUCGUUCCUAAUGAAAAUUUAGUUUACGUACUGAAACACUGCAAACUUUUAUAAAUAUUGUGAUGUAUUUGACCAAUACAAAGGAUCUUUUUAGAAACAGCAAACAGUUCUCAGAUUAUAGGAAUUACUCAUUUAAUGAUAGUUUCUUCUU
rnacentral:lncRNA from 1 species